UUACCAGACUCCUACGGGAGGCAGCAGUGGGGAAUAUUGCACAAUGGGGGAAACCCUGAUGCAGCGACGCCGCGUGAGUGAGGAAGUAUUUCGGUAUGUAAAGCUCUAUCAGCAGGGAAGAAAAUGACGGUACCUGACUAAGAAGCCCCGGCUAACUACGUGCCAGCAGCCGCGGUAAUACGUAGGGGGCAAGCGUUAUCCGGAUUUACUGGGUGUAAAGGGAGCGUAGACGGAAUAGCAAGUCUGAUGUGAAAACCCGGGGCUCAACUCCGGGAGUGCAUUGGAAACUGUUGGUCUUGAGUAUCGGAGAGGCAGGCGGAAUUCCUAGUGUAGCGGUGAGAUGCGUAGAUAUUAGGAGGAACACCAGUGGCGAAGGCGGCCUGCUGGACGACAACUGACGGUGAGGCGCGAAAGCGUGGGGAGCAAACAGGAUUAGAUACCCCCGUA
rnacentral:rRNA from 1 species